rnacentral:rRNA from 1 species
AUUGAACGCUGGCGGUAGGCCUAACACAUGCAAGUCGAACGGCAGCACAGGAGAGCUUGCUCUCUGGGUGGCGAGUGGCGGACGGGUGAGGAAUACAUCGGAAUCUACUCUGUCGUGGGGGAUAACGUAGGGAAACUUACGCUAAUACCGCAUACGACCUACGGGUGAAAGCAGGGGACCUUCGGGCCUUGCGCGAUUGAAUGAGCCGAUGUCGGAUUAGCUAGUUGGCGGGGUAAAGGCCCACCAAGGCGACGAUCCGUAGCUGGUCUGAGAGGAUGAUCAGCCACACUGGAACUGAGACACGGUCCAGACUCCUACGGGAGGCAGCAGUGGGGAAUAUUGGACAAUGGGCUCAAGCCUGAUCCAGCCAUACCGCGUGGGUGAAGAAGGCCUUCGGGUUGUAAAGCCCUUUUGUUGGGAAAGAAAUCCAGCUGGCUAAUACCCGGUUGGGAUGACGGUACCCAAAGAAUAAGCACCGGCUAACUUCGUGCCAGCCGCCGCAGUAA